UUCCUAUGAUGAGUUUGCCAUGCUAAUACCGACGUGCCAGACUGACUUGGCGCGAGUGAGUUCAACUUUACUUCUCACACUUUCAGUGUGCUCUGAUGGAA